rnacentral:rRNA from 1 species
UGCUCCUGAUGUUAGCGGCGGACGGGUGAGUAACACGUGGGUAACCUGCCUGUAAGACUGGGAUAACUCCGGGAAACCGGGGCUAAUACCGGAUGGUUGUUUGAACCGCAUGGUUCAGACAUAAAAGGUGGCUUCGGCUACCACUUACAGAUGGACCCGCGGCGCAUUAGCUAGUUGGUGAGGUAACGGCUCACCAAGGCGACGAUGCGUAGCCGACCUGAGAGGGUGAUCGGCCACACUGGGACUGAGACACGGCCCAGACUCCUACGGGAGGCAGCAGUAGGGAAUCUUCCGCAAUGGACGAAAGUCUGACGGAGCAACGCCGCGUGAGUGAUGAAGGUUUUCGGAUCGUAAAGCUCUGUUGUUAGGGAAGAACAAGUGCCGUUCAAAUAGGGCGGCACCUUGACGGUACCUAACCAGAAAGCCACGGCUAACUACGUGCCAGCAGCC